rnacentral:rRNA from 1 species
UAGAGAGAGACAUGCGCGCAUAUCAAUAAGCGGAGGAAAAGAAACUAACAAGGAUUCCCUUAGUAACGGCGAGUGAAGCGGGAAGAGCUCAAAUUUGAAAUCUUCAAGGUUUUACCUUGACGAAUUGUAGUUUAAAGAAGUGUUUUCUGUUGGUGUUUUGGUAAAAGUUCUUUGGAAUAGGACAUCAUAGAGGGUGAGAAUCCCGUAUUUGGUCAUUCCUCCUAGCGUUGUGAUACACUUUCAACGAGUCGGAUUGUUUGGGAACGCAGUCCAAAAUGGGUGGUAAAUUUCAUCUAAAGCUAAAUAUUGGCGAGAGACCGAUAGCGAACAAGUACCGUGAGGGAAAGAUGAAAAGAACUUUGAAAAGAGAGUUAAACAGUACGUGAAAUUGUCAAAAGGGAAGCGUUUGACACCAGUGUUGUUUUUCCGAAAAUCAAUUACGAAUGUUUUAUUUUUGAGGAGUUAUGACUUCAUCGGCUUGCUCCUUUCUUUAUGAAACUUUCUUAAUGCACUUUUCGGUUAACAAGUCAACAUCAAUUUCUUUUGUUGUAAAAGAGUCAUUGGAAGGUGGCUUUCACUUCGGUGAAAGUGUUUAUAGCCUUGUACCUCUGCAAUCGGAGAGAUUGAGGUCUGCAGCGUAGAUCCUUCGGGGUUAGAUACAGUUAGAUGCUAAGUUAUAGCUUUUUCAUAGACAACUUGUUGACUAUGAUUUAAUCAUUGUAGCUUACUCGCUUAUGCUAUUUUACCUACGCUUAGGAUGUUGAUAGUCACAGCGUGUAC